UGUGAUCAAACUUCCUUCUCCCUCUGUGACCACUGGUGACCAAGGAUGAGUGAACAGUCUUGUGUUCCUAUGCUGGCAAGCUGGAGACAGUGAUUUGCCCAUUUGCUUUCUGCGACCCUGGUUCACGCAGCAACUGGUUAGAGAAUCCUUGGAUGACUUUUGAAAACAAUUCCUCUGAGAAAACAACCAUUCUUCUAAGCACUAAACUGUGCUUAGAUGACUGAACCAGGCUGGACAGCAAAAGAGGCAAAAGUUGCUCUCUGAUUUUAAAGUGAGGAAAAAAACUGGACCGCGGAAGAAGAAAUUACAGGAUAAGCUGAUGGAGUUCUUUCCAACUCCCACAUACGAGCUAAGUAUGAUGAUCUGCCUCACGGCCCUAGAGGACUUCCAGUAGUUUCAGGGAGAAUGGAUCUUCUGUUUCUUUUCUCCACAGCGAAGUUUUCCAACAGCAUAGAUAAUGCUCAAUAAAUGAGGAGUUUUUUUCCUGA